AGCAAGGAGAAGAACACACUUUCCAGUCCAACAGGAAUGAGAAAAUAAUGAACAGGAAAACCACAUCAAGCUAAAACGGCAUUCCAAGGAGAAGAUUACUUAAGGAUAAAAAUGUUAUCUGUGUCUCAAGACAUGGUCCAUCUUCCAAUGGAGACCCAAGAGAGCAAAAGAAAAAUGUCAGCAAACUAAGAACUGGCAAUGGACCAGGAAAAGAAGUUAAAAUGCUUCAUAAAAUAGUAAGUUAUUUUUCCACAUUUCCUUUAGAAACAGUAUUAUGAUGUUAGAGGGAAAGUUGUUUUGUGGGAUUUUUUUGUUGUUUAUUGUCUAUUUAAUUCACUUCUGUCUUCCUGAUUAAAAGGCCUCAGUCAGCCACGGAGACCAAUUAGGCUAUGCUAUAACAAGGAUUACUGAACUGUAAUUAUUAUUUAUUCAAAUCAGUGGAAGAAUUACUGUGGCUUACGUUAAAGACAAUAGAAGCUAAUGGAGGGAGAAGCAGAAGAGACCAGCAGUGAUUUCGACAGCACGUUGUCAGCCACACAAGCAGUAUAAAAGCACCCAUCUAACUGACAGCCUGAAAUAGGGGCCUACUGAUAUUUGCUUGUGAGUCAUUCGUUUCAAGCAUAUUUUCAAACACAACCUCUCUUUAAAGAAAUAUCCUUGGAAAAAGUGUAUGUAUGAUACGUACACU
rnacentral:lncRNA from 1 species